rnacentral:lncRNA from 1 species
AAAAAAAGUAAAUAUUGUACAUUAUAUAAACAUUAGUAAUAAUGUACAAUAUAUAAAUGUUAGUAAAUAAUGUACAAAUGUUACUGUUAGAAUUAAAUAUAUAUUAUGUGCAGCCUAAAAUAAUUUUUUUCUUCAAAUGUGGCCCAAGGAAGCCAAAAGAUUGGAUAUCACUGCUUUGCAUGAUGAUUGACCUUAUAGUGAUUGUGAAAACUAUAGUGGAUUUUAGAGUGGCUCUGCCAUUUAAUACUAACAGGAUAGAAAAUUGCAUAAAACUUUGAAAAAAAUAAAUAUGAAGGGAUGUUAACUGAUAUUUGAUUUAUUAGUAUAUUUUUGGUUUGAUUGUAGUUGAAGAAAAAUUCAUCCAUUGUUUCACCUAUGUAUGUAAGUAGCAAUUAAAGAAUGCUCUCCUAUUUCCACUAGUAGCCUACAAUAUUUGUUUUGGCGGGAUCUGUUCCUUCUUUCUUCAUGCUGUUUUAUACUUGUCUCACUUUGUUUUUCAUUUUUCAAAGGUUUAACCAUAGAUUUGGUGAUUCUAAUGGAUAGUAAAAUACCUGCUGCUUAGUAUCUUAAAGGAUAGAAAGUGACAGAAAAUUUAAUAGGAGAGAAAAGUCAUUGAAGGACUUUUGGAAGACUGUCAGUAUCCUAAAUGAAGUGAGGUAUAAAGGAGAUUCAUGCACAGAUUUUUCUAAGAAAACAAUGAAUGGCAUCUGGAAGAAUGUUUAUUCUGUCUGAAGUGGCUUCUGACCUG